rnacentral:rRNA from 1 species
CCUACGGGUGGCAGCAGUGGGGGAUAUUGGGCAAUGGGCGAAAGCCUGACCCAGCAACGCCGCGUGAAGGAAGAAGGCUUUCGGGUUGUAAACUUCUUUUGACAGGGAAGAGCAGAAGACGGUACCUGUCGAAAAAGCAUCGGCUAACCCCGUGCCAGCAGCCGCGGUAAUACGGAGGAUGCGAGCGUUAUCCGGAUUCAUUGGGUUUAAAGGGUGCGCAGGGGGGAGAUCAAGUCAGCGGUAAAAUGUCGGGGCUAAACCCCGGCCGGCCGUUGAAACUGGUUUUCUAGAGUAGGAGAGGAGUAUGCGGAAUUCGUGGUGUAGCGGUGAAAUGCAUAGAUAUCACGAAGAACUCCGACUGCGAAGGCAGCAUACCGGCUCCAUACUGACGCUGAGGCACGAAAGCGUGGGGAUCGAACAGGAUUAGAUACCCCUGUAGUC